rnacentral:rRNA from 1 species
GACGAACGCUGGCGGCGUGCUUAACACAUGCAAGUCGAACGAUGAAGCCCAGCUUGCUGGGCGGAUUAGUGGCGAACGGGUGAGUAAUACGUGAGUAACCUGCCUUUAACUCUGGGAUAAGCCUUGGAAACGGGGUCUAAUACCGGAUACGACCAACCCUCGCAUGGGGUGUUGGUGGAAAGGGAUUUUGUACUGGUUUUAGAUGGGCUCACGGCCUAUCAGCUUGUUGGUGAGGUAACGGCUCACCAAGGCGACGACGGGUAGCCGGCCUGAGAGGGUGACCGGCCACACUGGGACUGAGACACGGCCCAGACUCCUACGGGAGGCAGCAGUGGGGAAUAUUGCACAAUGGGCGCAAGCCUGAUGCAGCGACGCCGCGUGAGGGAUGACGGCCUUCGGGUUGUAAACCUCUUUCAGCAGGGGAGAAGCGAAAGUGACGGUACCUGCAGAAGAAGCGCCGGCUAACUACGUGCCAGCAGCCGCGGUAAUACGUAGGGCGCGAGCGUUGUCCGGAAUUAUUGGGCGUAAAGAGCUUGUAGGCGGUUUGUCGCGUCUGCUGUGAAGCCCGGGGCUUAACCCCGGGUUUGCAGUGGGUACGGGCAGACUAGAGUGCAGUAGGGGAGACUGGAAUUCCUGGUGUAGCGGUGAAAUGCGCAGAUAUCAGGAGGAACACCAAUGGCGAAGGCAGGUCUCUGGGCUGUAACUGACGCUGAGAAGCGAAAGCAUGGGGAGCGAACAGGAUUAGAUACCCUGGUAGUCCAUGCCGUAAACGUUGGGCACUAGGUGUGGGGAACAUUCCACGUUUUCCGCGCCGUAGCUAACGCAUUAAGUGCCCCGCCUGGGGAGUACGGCCGCAAGGCUAAAACUCAAAGAAAUUGACGGGGGCCCGCACAAGCGGCGGAGCAUGCGGAUUAAUUCGAUGCAACGCGAAGAACCUUACCAAGGCUUGACAUAUACUAGAUCGCCUCAGAGAUGGGGUUUCCCUUCGGGGCUGGUAUACAGGUGGUGCAUGGUUGUCGUCAGCUCGUGUCGUGAGAUGUUGGGUUAAGUCCCGCAACGAGCGCAACCCUCGUUCUAUGUUGCCAGCACGUAAUGGUGGGGACUCAUAGGAGACUGCCGGGGUUAACUCGGAGGAAGGUGGGGAUGACGUCAAAUCAUCAUGCCCCUUAUGUCUUGGGCUUCACGCAUGCUACAAUGGCCGGUACAAAGGGUUGCGAUACUGUGAGGUUGAGCUAAUCCCAAAAAGCCGGUCUCAGUUCGGAUUGGGGUCUGCAACUCGACCCCAUGAAGUCGGAGUCGCUAGUAAUCGCAGAUCAGCAACGCUGCGGUGAAUACGUUCCCGGGCCU